rnacentral:sRNA from 1 species
GAAGUUUAAUAACUAGUCCGCACGCAUAUCGACCAACCUGUUGCUGGGUGCUUUUCAUUCGACAUUCGAAUAAAAAAGUUGGCACAGGGGAUAUGCGGAGGCUUAAC